rnacentral:rRNA from 1 species
AUACGUAGGGUGCAAGCGUUAAUCGGAAUUAUUGGGCGUAAAGCGCGCGCAGGCGGUCCUUUAAGUCUGAUGUGAAAGCCCACGGCUCAACCGUGGAGGGUCAUUGGCAACUGGGGGACUUGAGUGCAGAAGAGGAAAGUGGAAUUCCAAGUGUAGCGGUGAAAUGCGUAGAGAUUUGGAGGAACACCAGUGGCGAAGGCGACUUUCUGGUCUGUAACUGACGCUGAGGCGCGAAAGCGUGGGGAGCAAACAGGAUUAGAUACCCUGGUAGUCCACGCCGUAAACGAUGAGUGCUAAGUGUUAGGGGGUUUCCGCCCCUUAGUGCUGCAGCUAACGCAUUAAGCACUCCGCCUGGGGAGUACGGUCGCAAGACUGAAACUCAAAGGAAUUGACGGGG